rnacentral:rRNA from 1 species
AGUGAACGCUGGCGGUAGGCCUAACACAUGCAAGUCGAACGGCAGCACAGUAAGAGCUUGCUCUUACGGGUGGCGAGUGGCGGACGGGUGAGGAAUACAUCGGAAUCUACUUUUUCGUGGGGGAUAACGUAGGGAAACUUACGCUAAUACCGCAUACGACCUACGGGUGAAAGCAGGGGAUCUUCGGACCUUGCGCGAUUGAAUGAGCCGAUGUCGGAUUAGCUAGUUGGCGGGGUAAAGGCCCACCAAGGCGACGAUCCGUAGCUGGUCUGAGAGGAUGAUCAGCCACACUGGAACUGAGACACGGUCCAGACUCCGACGGGAGGCAGCAGUGGGGAAUAUUGGACAAUGGGCGCAAGCCUGAUUCAGCCAUACCGCGUGGGUGAAGUAGGCCUUCGGGUUGUAAAGCCCUUUUGUUGGGAAAGAAAAGCAGCAGGUUAAUACCCCGCUGUUCUGACGGUACCCAAAGAAUAAGCACCGGCUAACUGCGU